rnacentral:lncRNA from 1 species
GCUUACAAAGAUGUUGAAAGAAAGAGCUACAGAUCACAAAAGAUCCUAGUGGAAAGGAGGUUGCUAAAAUCAAGGUAAGAACCAUCAACUGAUUCUUUUUAAUUUGUGUGUUCCUUUCUUAAAUGUGAAGUACAAUUAAAGUGUUUUUUUGGUUCACAGGCGCCAAGCUCAAGAUCAGCCUUGCAAACACUUCCAGAAAAUCGUUUGAUCAGUGACACUGAAAAUUAAACGCUUAUUAAAGGCAGACAACUCCACCUGCCAGUGAAUGAACUUUGAGCACGAUGUUGGAUCAGCCUUGCAAACCUUCUUGGUUUGCUACUUCAGAGAUAUAUCAAAAUUUUGAUCGCUCUUGUUUUUGUAUUCCUAGAGUUUUUCAAACUUAUAUAUGGAAAGUAAAACUAUUCAUACAUAUUGCUCUUUGUCAAUAUCUCAACUACUUAUGAUUGAUAACCAGCAAAAUAUCUAUGAAACUAGUGUGAAGGAGGUGAUAUAACUUAAAGUGCACCCUCUAACACU